rnacentral:tRNA from 1 species
UGGCAAGAUGGCCGAGUUGGUCUAAGGCGUUAGACGUCAGUACUCCCCUUACAAUUCCAUUUUCAGAAUCAAUUACUAACUCCCACAUAGUCAAGAGAACCUUCUCUUCGCUGUUAAACAGUGAGCAUUCUAAUCUCGCAAGAGGCACGGGUUCGAAUCCCGUUCUUGUCAA